rnacentral:lncRNA from 1 species
UCGCACGGUCUUUAUUGUAACUGGACAAAUUCUUUUUCUGACAUACUAUCUUCUUUGAUAGCUGUAGUCCUCAUUUUAUGGUUGCGUCACUUUUUUGGACAAUGUUGAGUAGUGUGCUUAGGUUCUCCACAAUAUAAGCAUAGUCCUUCCUAACGAUGACGAGUCUUUUUUUGCUCAGUAAGAAGUUUGAAACAUAUUGCAUGAAUUUGGAUAU